rnacentral:rRNA from 1 species
AUUGAACGCUGGCGGCAGGCCUAACACAUGCAAGUCGAGCGGAUGAAGGGAGCUUGCUCCUGGAUUCAGCGGCGGACGGGUGAGUAAUGCCUAGGAAUCUGCCUGGUAGUGGGGGAUAACGUCCGGAAACGGGCGCUAAUACCGCAUACGUCCUGAGGGAGAAAGUGGGGGAUCUUCGGACCUCACGCUAUCAGAUGAGCCUAGGUCGGAUUAGCUAGUUGGUGGGGUAAAGGCCUACCAAGGCGACGAUCCGUAACUGGUCUGAGAGGAUGAUCAGUCACAAUGGAACUGAGACACGGUCCAGACUCCUACGGGAGGCAGCAGUGGGGAAUAUUGGACAAUGGGCGAAAGCCUGAUCCAGCCAUGCCGCGUGUGUGAAGAAGGUCUUCGGAUUGUAAAGCACUUUAAGUUGGGAGGAAGGGCAGUAAGUUAAUACCUUGCUGUUUUGACGGUACCAACAGAAUAAGCACCGGCUAACUUCGUG